GACAGAGGGUGCGAACGUUGCUCGGAAUCACUGGGCGUAAAGCGCGUGUAGGCGGUGCCAUACGUCGGGUGUGAAAGCCCGGGGCUCAACCCCGGAAGUGCCCCCGAUACGACGGCGCUGGAGGGCGAGAGAGGCGAGUGGAAUUCCCGGUGUAGAGGUGAAAUUCGUAGAUAUCAAGCGGAACACCGGUGGCGAAGGCGGCCUUCUGGACAGUGACUGACGCUGGAGAUGCGAAAGCGUGGGGAGCAAACGGG
rnacentral:rRNA from 1 species